GAUAGAUGUUAGAGACAGAGAUAGAUGUUAGAGACAGAGAAACAUCUAUCUCUGUCUCUAACAUCUAUCUCUGUCUCUAACAUCUAUCUCUG
rnacentral:pre_miRNA from 1 species